rnacentral:rRNA from 1 species
UACGAAGGGUGCAAGCGUUACUCGGAAUUACUGGGCGUAAAGCGUGCGUAGGUGGUUCGUUAAGUCUGCCGUGAAAGCCCCGGGCUCAACCUGGGAAUGGCGGUGGAUACUGGCGGACUAGAGUGCGGUAGAGGGUGGUGGAAUUCCCGGUGUAGCGGUGAAAUGCGCAGGUAUCGGGAGGAAUACCGGUGGCGAAGGCGGCAUCCUGGACCGAAACUGACGCUGAUGCGCGAAAGCUAGGGGAGCAAACGGG